UCCAGAAUAAUGGGUGGGAAUAGAUUUUGUUGUGAUGUUCUUAUCUCACAACAAAAUCUAUUCCCACCCAUUAUUCUGGA